CAGCGCCGGGCACAUGCAAGUCGAACGCGCCGCAAGGUGAGUAACAGACGGGUGAGUAACGCGUGGGAAUCUACCCANNGUCCUUCGGAAUAACACAGGGAAACUUGUGCUAAUACCGGAUACGCCCUACGGGGGAAAGAUUUAUCGGGAUUGGAUGAGCCCGCGUUGGAUUAGCUAGUUGGUGGGGUAAUGGCCUACCAAGGCGACGAUCCAUAGCUGGUCUGAGAGGAUGAUCAGCCACACUGGGACUGAGACACGGCCCAGACUCCUACGGGAGGCAGCAGUGGGGAAUAUUGGACAAUGGGCGAAAGCCUGAUCCAGCCAUGCCGCGUGAGUGAUGAAGGCCUUAGGGUUGUAAAGCUCUUUCAGUGGGGAAGAUAAUGACGGUACCCACAGAAGAAGCCCCGGCUAACUUCGUGCCAGCAGCCGCGGUAAU
rnacentral:rRNA from 1 species